UGUGGUCAGAGCAUUUUAAAGCACAGAAGAUAACUCAACAUUGCUGCUACACACCAACAUCUCGAGUGUGAGGAGGUCAUCAUCAUCAUCAUCAUCAUCAUCAUCAUCAUCAGAGACUCCAGCAUGCCUGUGUACGUGCUGGUUGAACACUGCAGAGGGUGAGGUUAUGAUUCUCGGUUUCGGGACCUGGCCUUUGAGAUAAAGAAGGUGGUACCGGAUGCCAAAGUUUCAUCCUUAGUGGGGCGAACAGGGAGUUUUGAAGUGAUGUUGAAUGGAAAGCUGAUGUUCUCCAAACUGCAGGAUAACACCUUCCCCUCAACCUCAGAGGUGGUCCACAUGGUGGCAGAAAUGAGUGGAGCUGGAACUGUGGAGGGUCUGGAGACGUUAGGCCAGGUGGAGACAGUAGAGAAGAAGACGAAGAAGAAGAACACUUCUUUGUGUGUUGUGCAGUAGAGAAUAUCUCUAGGAGUGUGUGUGUGUGUGGGUGUUGGGGGUCUCUCUUCAUGAUCACAUGCUCUGAAACCUGCAGGAGUGUGUGUGAUGAUCUUCUGAGACGAUUCUCCAGCAACACAUUCUCACAGCUCACUCAAUAAACACUGAUACAGUC